rnacentral:rRNA from 1 species
CGAGCGAACGGACGAGAAGCUUGCUUCUCUGAUGUUAGCGGCGGACGGGUGAGUAACACGUGGAUAACCUACCUAUAAGACUGGGAUAACUUCGGGAAACCGGAGCUAAUACCGGAUAAUAUUUUGAACCGCAUGGUUCAAAAGUGAAAGACGGUCUUGCUGUCACUUAUAGAUGGAUCCGCGCUGCAUUAGCUAGUUGGUAAGGUAACGGCUUACCAAGGCAACGAUGCAUAGCCGACCUGAGAGGGUGAUCGGCCACACUGGAACUGAGACACGGUCCAGACUCCUACGGGAGGCAGCAGAAGGGAAUCUUCCGCAAUGGGCGAAAGCCUGACGGAGCAACGCCGCGUGAGUGAUGAAGGUCUUCGGAUCGUAAAACUCUGUUAUUAGGGAAGAACAUAUGUGUAAGUAACUGUGCACAUCUUGACGGUACCUAAUCAGAAAGCCACGGCUAACUACGUGCCAGCAGCCGCGGUAAUACGUAGGUGGCAAGCGUUAUCCGGAAUUAUUGGGCGUAAAGCGCGCGUAGGCGGUUUUUUAAGUCUGAUGUGAAAGCCCACGGCUCAACCGUGGAGGGUCAUUGGAAACUGGAAAACUUGAGUGCAGAAGAGGAAAGUGGAAUUCCAUGUGUAGCGGUGAUAUGCGCAGAGAUAUGGAGGUACACCAGUGGCGAAGGCGACUUUCUGGUCUGUAA